rnacentral:lncRNA from 1 species
CACAAUGACAACCAAGCAGGAGGCAAAACACAGACGUUCCAGGACUCAUUAAUAACGGUGGCGUUCGAAUUAAAAAUACGUUGACGUUUGAUCUGCAUUUCAAUCAGGCAAAGCAGCCUCAGUCAGAAGACGAAAGGCCCGUAAACCCAACAAACGACUGUGACGACCCCGCAGUUGUGUGGUUAAUAGGCACCGGUGGCUUGCGAGGAGGAGGGAGGCCUCGGCCGUGCGCUCUGGCCCUCUUUUAGCUCAGGACGGGCCUCGUCAUAUGGUGGAUUUGGGCCGCCGACUAAAUUAGCCACCACGGAAACAGCCCUGGGCGACUGCAGCGCCUGCUCCUCGCCACAGACCCUCCAUCGUCAUGAAAAAUAAAACAGAUACAACGCCCCCGCGUUAGGGAAGCUUUCAAACCCUGCUCAGCCUCGGCUUUAAUAUUUCAUGGCGUCCUCUUACUUAUUUUAGUGGGAAUAAUUGAUCUGGAAAGAGCACUGCCAUGCAGAAAUGAAAGGCUCAGAGGAGCCGGUCAAAAAAAAAAAAAAGUUCUAUUAUAGUUUUGACAACCCCAGAUUCUGCAGCCUUUUUAUAUUUUGCUUGAUGCCUGGGACUAAACCAGAGAAUAGAAAGAAUGGCUUUAACUACGGUUUCUGAUUCAUUGAGGAGAAAACGCAUUACGUGGCGCAGCUUCACCCAGAAAGACAAAAUGUUCCACAGCUUGUUUAACAGCUAAUGGAUAGUCGCUUUAAAAGGUGCAUCGCAUGGCGCUGUGCAAAACAUUUCCAUCAGCAACCUCACUCCACUUUAUUAGGCUCCGACAUAUUCAUUGGCCAACUGCUGUCCCAUCCAUUUAGACAAAUAUUUGCUGGCAACACAAAUAAAUAAGUCCAUUCAGCUCUGAACAGGCCUUGUUUGUGGUAUUGACUGUUAUUGUUGCCAUUGUGUUUUUCAUUCCAGCAGCCAGUGCAGGAGGACCGCAGACACAAUUGAUUCCUUCGCUGGGAUGAGGGCGGAGGUCACUCAGGGCCAGGAGCAGUAUUCAUCGACGCUCCAGAACCACCUCCUGAGAUCUGCACCUGCCAGCGCCGCGUCGCCCCAGUGCUGAUAAGGCCGACUGUGCGCCUGUUGCUUUCUGUGGGGAGAGAGGGAAGAGGCCUCAUGCACCAGUGGUCCCCGUGGGACCGCACGCCGCAGAACACGCUUGUGAGCAAAAGCAAUCCAUCAUUAAAUGAGGAAGCCGCUCAGGAACUUAAUACACACAAUGAGGUGAUCAAUGAGUUUGAAAAUGUCACGAGUGUCUCAAAGGGGACGCGGUUUUGAGUCCAUCUGAUGUAAGACUGAAGUCAACUACUCAACUAUACACCACGACGGUCAAUAGAGCUUCUACUGCUCUCCAAUAAGCAGUGCUGGCCUCCCACUACAUGCUACAUGCAAAUUAAACUACAAAUUACGUGUUUGAGUGGGAUGACUUGUGACUAUGCCUUAGUUUGAGCCGAGUCAAGGUCUCAUUAGCCUAAGGAACUAACUUACACAUGUGUAU